AUGGAGUGGAUGGGAAGCAAUGUUGUAAUAUCUUCACUAAUAAUCCAUGAAGGACUUCUUAGAGCUCUACUGUCAGAAGGACUUUCGAACUGCCCGUAUCCAUCCAUCAGUUGCUGUUCCCGCUCCUUAAGAAGAUUUUCCCUGGCUCUUAGGCGAGCAAUACUAUCGCUUGUCUGGGCUCUCUGUCAUCCUUGGAACUCCUCUACCAUCCAAGUGCAAGAUCUCCCCUCCAUCUGCGUAUCGAGAACUGAGAACUACAGGAUC